AUUGAACGCUGGCGGCAGGCUUAACACAUGCAAGUCGAGCGGGGGAAGGUAGCUUGCUACCUAACCUAGCGGCGGACGGGUGAGUAAUGCUUAGGAAUCUGCCUAUUAGUGGGGGACAACAUUUCGAAAGGGAUGCUAAUACCGCAUACGCCCUAAGGGGGAAAGCAGGGGAUCGUCGGACCUUGCGCUAAUAGAUGACCCUAAGUCGGCUUAGCUAGUUGGUGGGGUAAAGGCCUACCAAGGCGACGAUCUGUAGCGGGGCUGAGAGGAUGCUACGCCACAGUGGGACUGGAAAACGGCCCAGACUCAUACGGGAGGGAGCAGGGGGGAAUAUUGGACAAUGGGGGGAACCCUGAUCCAGCCGUGACGCGUGUGUGAAGAAGGCCUUUUGGUUGUAAAGCAUUUUGAGCGAGGAAGAGGCUACGGAGAUAAAUACUCUUGGAUAGUGGACGUUACUCGCAGAAUAAGCACCGGCUAACUCUGUGCCAGCCGCCGCCGUAAUAC
rnacentral:rRNA from 1 species